AUUCCAGCUCCAAUAGCGUAUUUUAAAGUUGCUGCAGUUAAAAAGCUCGUAGUUGGACUUCGGGAUCGAGCUGACGGUCCGCCGCGAGGCGUGCCACCGUCUGUCCCAGCCCCUGCCUCUUGGCGCCCCCUCGAUGCUCUUGACUGAGUGUCCCGCGGGGUCCGAAGCGUUUACUUUGAAAAAAUCUGAGUGUUCAAAGCAGGCCGAGUCGCCUGAAUGCCCCAGCUAGGAAUGAUGGAAUAGGACUCCGGUUCUAUUCCGUGGGUUUCUCUGAGCCGGGGCCAUGAUUAAGAGGGACGGCCGGGGGCACUCGUAUUGCCCUGACAGAGGUGAAAUUCUUGGACCGGCGCAAGACGGACGAAAGCGAAAGCAUUUGCCAAGAAUGUUUUCAUUA
rnacentral:rRNA from 1 species